CCAGUACCGUGAGGGAAAGGUGAAAAGCACCCCGGAAGGGGAGUGAAAGAGAUCCUGAAACCGUGUGCCUACAAAUAGUCAGAGCCCGUUAAUGGGUGAUGGCGUGCCUUUUGUAGAAUGAACCGGCGAGUUACGAUCCCGUGCGAGGUUAAGCUGAAGAGACGGAGCCGCAGCGAAAGCGAGUCUGAAUAGGGCGUUUAGUACGUGGUCGUAGACCCGAAACCAGGUGAUCUACCCAUGUCCAGGGUGAAGUUCAGGUAACACUGAAUGGAGGCCCGAACCCACGCACGUUGAAAAGUGCGGGGAUGAGGUGUGGGUAGCGGAGAAAUUCCAAUCGAACCUGGAGAUAGCUGGUUCUCCCC
rnacentral:rRNA from 1 species